rnacentral:rRNA from 1 species
UACGUAGGGUGCAAGCGUUAAUCGGAAUUACUGGGCGUAAAGCGUGCGCAGGCGGUUGUGCAAGACAGAUGUGAAAUCCCCGGGCUUAACCUGGGAACUGCAUUUGUGACUGCAUGGCUAGAGUGUGUCAGAGGGGGGUAGAAUUCCACGUGUAGCAGUGAAAUGCGUAGAUAUGUGGAGGAAUACCGAUGGCGAAGGCAGCCUCCUGGGAUAACACUGACGCUCAUGCACGAAAGCGUGGGGAGCAAACAGG